UUUUAAAUAAUAUUUUCAUCGCUGGGCGUAUAUUUUGCAAAUUCUCGCACAGCACAGAGAAAUAUAAUCUACAUAUGUUUACAGUUGAAUUGGGAACCUGCGAAUAUCAUGGACAUAUGAAAUGCCUUGGCUCCUUUGGGACUUAAGAGUAUGUUCAAGUCUCAACUUCGGAACCCGUUCUACUGACACACCUUAGCACUACUACCAUCGAUGUUAAACCACGGCAUUCGUGACCCACUCGUGUUAUUCCGGGACAAGCCGAAUAGCGAUCUUGGUGGUUACGGCAACGGGCGAGUGGAAAUGAAACCACGGGAGUUAGGAUCGCCAUAACGCUGAGAUCGCUUUGUUGCGAAUGUGUCCUAUCCCAGGAUGGGAAUGCAACCGAAGAAACAUUUAAAGAAAGAGUUAGGAACCUUUCUGAAUUAUGGCCCUGACCCUCAGGGUGGGAGUGGCAGAAAGAAGAGGAGCUAAUAAUUGUGUGUUUUGGAGUUAUUGUGUUUAAAGAUCUGAACUGUGGCAUGAAACUUGGUGGCGUGAAUGUCAGUUUAAUGAUGAAUGCAGAUGAUAUUGUGUUAUCACCAACAGAGAUCACCUACAGAAUGUCACGUAUGAAGAUUUGAUGAAAAGUGACUUGUUUUAUGUUCUGUCUUCAUGUUUUGUUCAUGGUCAUCUUGGAUUCAUUUCAUGGUGAAAGUAAUUGCAUUGUGUUUAUUCAGGGGUCUGUCUAAUAGCUGAAAUUCAGAAAAAAUGGGCAAUUUACACCUUUUUAAGAUAACAAUACAACAGUAAAUAGUUUUUCUUUAUUUGGAAUACUCUUUCCUUCUUACUGGAAUUACACCCAACGGGCAUAAAACUUAAAUGAAUACUAUUGAAUGUGAAAUAUUGACCAAGUAUUUUAUGAGGUAAAUAUUUUUACUGUAAGUUUCUGUUUCACUGUUUAUUGCAGGUAGCCUUUUUUGUGUAUUUUAAUUAGAUGCAAGAGUUUAGUGCUACCUUAGUGUAGAUUAAAGUUGAAAUGCGAGGUUAUUUACAGAAAUACGGAAUACAUGUACACAUAUUGUAAACUUGGUUGAAAUUUUACGUGUUUACGUUGGAUUUCUAUAUAAAAAACUCCCAUACACAACCACGGAACAACCCAUUUUCAACUUUGACAAUAGGUCAAACUUCAACGUUGAUUCCACGUCGGAUAUCUACGUCUAAAAAACUUUCAUAUACAACGGACCAACCUAUUCCCAACGUUGAAACAACGUUGAUGUGCCCGCUGGGAUUGUUUUCACAUGGUCUCCAGACUGGCUCUUACAAAGUUACCCAGUUCUGUUGUCAGCUGAGCUUUUCUAGGAUUCAAAACUAAUUACAAAUAGUAAUUUGGCAGGCAAAUUGAGAAUAAUUAAUUUGUGUGAAUAAAAAU